GCUAUACUGCAGUCGAGCGAAUGGAUUAAGAGCUUGCUCUUAUGAAGUUAGCGGCGGACGGGUGAGUAACACGUGGGUAACCUGCCCAUAAGACUGGGAUAACUCCGGGAAACCGGGGCUAAUACCGGAUAACAUUUUGAACCGCAUGGUUCGAAAUUGAAAGGCGGCUUCGGCUGUCACUUAUGGAUGGACCCGCGUCGCAUUAGCUAGUUGGUGAGGUAACGGCUCACCAAGGCAACGAUGCGUAGCCGACCUGAGAGGGUGAUCGGCCACACUGGGACUGAGACACGGCCCAGACUCCUACGGGAGGCAGCAGUAGGGAAUCUUCCGCAAUGGACGAAAGUCUGACGGAGCAACGCCGCGUGAGUGAUGAAGGCUUUCGGGUCGUAAAACUCUGUUGUUAGGGAAGAACAAGUGCUAGUUGAAUAAGCUGGCACCUUGACGGUACCUAACCAGAAAGCCACGGCUAACUACGUGCCAGCAGCCGCGGUAAUACGUAGGUGGCAAGCGUUAUCCGGAAUUAUUGGGCGUAAAGCGCGCGCAGGUGGUUUCUUAAGUCUGAUGUGAAAGCCCACGGCUCAACCGUGGAGGGUCAUUGGAAACUGGGAGACUUGAGUGCAGAAGAGGAAAGUGGAAUUCCAUGUGUAGCGGUGAAAUGCGUAGAGAUAUGGAGGAACACCAGUGGCGAAGGCGACUUUCUGGUCUGUAACUGACACUGAGGCGCGAAAGCGUGGGAGCAAACAGGAUUAGAUACCCUGGUAGUCCACGCCGUAAACGAUGAGUGCUAAGUGUUAGAGGGUUUCCGCCCUUUAGUGCUGA
rnacentral:rRNA from 1 species